rnacentral:rRNA from 1 species
AUUGAACGCUGGCGGCAUGCUUUACACAUGCAAGUCGAACGGUAGCAGGCCUUCGGGUGCUGACGAGUGGCGAACGGGUGCGUAAUGCAUCGGAACGUGCCCAGAGGUGGGGGAUAACGCAGCGAAAGCUGUGCUAAUACCGCAUGUGAUCUGAGGAUGAAAGCGGGGGACCAAGCAGCAAUGUUUGGCCUCGCGCCUCUGGAGCGGCCGAUGUCAGAUUAGGUAGUUGGUGGGGUAAAGGCCUACCAAGCCGACGAUCUGUAGCUGGUCUGAGAGGACGACCAGCCACACUGGGACUGAGACACGGCCCAGACUCCUACGGGAGGCAGCAGUGGGGAAUUUUGGACAAUGGGCGCAAGCCUGAUCCAGCAAUGCCGCGUGCGGGAAGAAGGCCUUCGGGUUGUAAACCGCUUUUGUACGGAACGAAAAGGCUCUGGCUAAUACCUGGGGCUGAUGACGGUACCGUAAGAAUAAGCACCGGCUAACUACGUG